rnacentral:lncRNA from 1 species
AGAAAAUGUAAGAAGAGAGGGAAUCCAUACGAGGCAAACCACAGCAAAUGCUCCAUCCGGUGUGGUCUACAGUCAACAAUAGACUCCCUGAGGGUACAUCAACAACACUAUUUUCUGCAUGAGAUUUAAGACAUUUAUAACAGAUACCCAUUAGGAGAUAUAUAUGCCAGAGUCUAUUUAACCCUUAUGAACAUUUGCCUUUCAAGUCCAUCAGAAAUCACUUCAUUCUUGACAACAGAUCAAAGCGCUACUACUCAAGUCAGUUGCUGGCAGAAAGCACUGUCACCUCCAUCAAAGUAACUAUUGAGUAAACACCUGAGGAGGAAGAUUGUGUGAUGGUUUUGCAUACCUGAACCUCACUGUGGAUGUCUCUCCCCAUGCACCGCAGAAAAGAAAAGACCAAGA